CGCGCACCACCUGUUCGACGGAAUGCCUCACACAAGCAGGGCAGAGAAAUCGUCAAAGUCCUGCAACGACGACCGGAUCAGCGCCCUGCCGGACGACGUCCUGCACCAUGUCCUUGGCUUCCUGCGUGCCGAUGAGGCGGUGCACACCUGCCUGCUCGCCAAGCGCUCGCGCUACCUUUGGGAAUCUAUCCGUCGUCUUCGCAUCAACAAAAUGGGGAGGCAGGGGAGGAGCGCUCAUGUUUUCCUUACCAAGGUCGAGAUGGAGCAUGCUCAUCGUUUUGAAGAUGAUCGUACUUGGGUAUCAACAUGGAUUCGUCAUGCUUUGUCAUGCCAAGCUUAGGUCCUCACUGUCAAGUUCACUUUGCAGGGGUACGUGCUCCGCUAUUUGGAUGGCCCUCCUCUGGUCUCCCGGUAUUUAAGAAGAUUAGAGAUUUCUCAAGUGAGGUUUGAUAGCAACUUCCUAAAUUUUUCAAGCUGUUCAACACUGGAGGAUCUAAAGAUAAAAGGUUGUGACUUAGAUACUAGCAGCAUCCUGUCCCAGUCUGUAAAGCAUCUGAGCAUCAAGGAUUGUUUUUUUCGAACAUGAUGCCCGGAUGCAUAUUUCUGUCCCAAAUCUCGUUUCACCGCAACUCAAAUCAUUUGGACCUAGAGCCCCAUUUCUCGAAAGCAUGUUGUCAUUAGAAACCGCAGUUGUCAGUUCUGAAAUCUAGUCGAUGGAUUACUGUCCUGAAGGUAAUUUUGCUGGAGAAUGUUGUGGUACUCUUCCGGAUUGCUGUGGUAAUGAUGGAUACAAGGGUGGCUACAUACUUCUUGGAGGUCUGUCUCAUGCUAAAAACUUGGAGUUGAUAGCUCAACCGGGAAUGUUUAUUUUCAGAAGGGAUUUGAGAUGAUGCCCUACAUUUAGUAAGUUAAAGACAUUGUUGUUGAACGAGUGGAGUGUGCAAUCUGACCUCCAUGCACUAGUUUGUAUGCUUGAACAUUCGCCAGUUCUUGAGAAUCUGACACUUCAAUUGCAUAAGUGGGAGUGGAAGAAAAUGCUGGUUUGAUGGAGAAACCAGCUGCUAUUUCAGGAUACCUGAAGAUUAUCAAAGUCGAAUGUGAAGAGGUUGAUAGCAGAGUUUGCAAAGUUUUAAAGUUCUCGAGUAUAUUUGGCAUAGAAAUUACUAUUCAAAGGACUAACGUCUAAAGGAUAGUCAGAGAAGAUGAUUCAGUUUCAAGAGUUGACGAGGAGCUUUUGGGCCACUGAUGGAUGUACCAGCCCGACCAUCCAGUUUGUAGAAGCGGCAAGGAACUUUGGGCUGUCGGUGGAUGAGCAUUCAGGAAUGCAAGGCUUUGAAAAGCUCGUCGCUGUCUUUCUUCCGUGUGAACUCUUUUAAUUGCAACUCGAAUCCAAUGAGAUGCCUAAACUGAU